rnacentral:lncRNA from 1 species
AAACCCUUUUUAGGUUAACUAAAAGUAAAAUCAAUCAAAAUAUUCAUCAAACUACAUGAAAUCAAUCAAACUUCAUCAAAAAAUUCUAUGCAAACGGGUGGAAUUAAGCCGCUUUCAAGAGAGCCAUACUUUCAUGUGGUCCUUUCAAAAACACACCUUAGUCCCCGUUAUGGAAUGGUAAUUUCAUACUUGGUUUCACAAAAGGAAGAAAUUAAAGCAUAUAGUAUCACACUUUGUGCAGAACAAUACUAUCAUUUUCUUUGUUGAUGGGUCACUUUGUCCAACUAAUUAUUACAUCUAUUGUUUGAUAUUUUUUUCUCAUUUGUAUCAUUUUCGGUGGCUUCUAACAAGUUAGAUCUUAUAUUAAGAUGACAGAUUUGUGGCCACUGAUUUUAGCACCUUCCGUUUCAUGCUUUGAAAGAUAUUGGAUUGUUGUUUCAGAAAGAUCCAUAUGUCUGUAUCAUAGAAAUCUUCAGCAAAUUUUAGUAUACAAGACAUUUUCGUGUUUGUGGAGGUUCAUAUCCCUUUGUAAUUGUUGUGCUUAUAUAUUCAAGGAAAUCAGAAACAUAAUCUGUUAUAGAUGAAACUAAAUUCUGUUACAUUCUAAUAUGAAACUAUAUUUUGUUAUCCUCUGUUUUGAUGAAGAUGUUGAUUGAUUUUACUUUUAGUUAAGUUAAAGGGGUUUUUCAAAGAAAUUUUUGUUGAAUUUCUAGUGUAGUGAUGUUGAUGUUUGUUGAUAAAUUUAUGGGUUUUUAUGAACUUUGAUGAAGAUGUGUUGAAGAUGAUGAAGAAGAGGAAAGGAAGGAAGAAGAUGAAGUUUUCUAUGAAUUUUUGGGAUUGGUCCCUCUGCAAAUUUUGUUUUUUGAUUUUGGUCCCUCUAAUUUUGUGACUCAGCAUAUGGAAUGAUACAUCAGCGAUAUCUGCCACGUCACACGUCGCCAUGUCAUCCUCCGUUUGCCACAUAGACGUUUUUGUAACAGAUUAUGACGGCAGGGACUAAAACCAAAAUGCUUAUAACUUACAGGGGUUGUUUUAGAAUAAAAAAAGAUACAGGGACUAAAACCAAAAACACGCGAACUUACAGGGACCAUUUACAUAUUUAAGCCUA